rnacentral:rRNA from 1 species
GUGCCAGCAGCCGCGGUAAUACGUAGGGUGCGAGCGUUGUCCGGAAUUAUUGGGCGUAAAGAGCUCGUAGGCGGUCUGUCGCGUCGGAAGUGAAAACUCGGGGCUUAACCCCGAGCCUGCUUUCGAUACGGGCAGACUUGAGGAAUGUAGGGGAGAACGGAAUUCCUGGUGGAGCGGUGGAAUGCGCAGAUAUCAGGAGUAACACCAGUGGCGAAGGCGGUUCUCUGGACAUUAACUGACGCUGAGGAGCGAAAGCGUGGGGAGCAAACAGGCUUAGAUACCCUGGUAGUCCACGCCGUAAACGGUGGGCACUAGGUGUGGGGGACAUUCCACGUUCUCCGUGCCGUAGCUAACGCAUUAAGUGCCCCGCCUGGGGAGUACGGCCGCAAGGCUAAAACUCAAAGAAAUUGACGG